rnacentral:rRNA from 1 species
AAGACCUUGCGCUUUUGGAGCGGCCGAUGCCUGAUUAGCUUGUUGGUAAGGUAAAAGCUUACCAAGGCUUCGAUCAGUAGCUGGUCUGAGAGGACGACCAGCCACACUGGGACUGAGACACGGCCCAGACUCCUACGGGAGGCAGCAGUGGGGAAUUUUGGACAAUGGGGGCAACCCUGAUCCAGCCAUGCCGCGUGAGUGAAGAAGGCCUUCGGGUUGUAAAGCUCUUUCAGCCGGAACGAAACGGUUACGGAUAACACCCGUGACUACUGACGGUACCGGAAGAAGAAGCACCGGCUAGCUACGUGCCAGCAGCCGCGGUAAUACGUAGGGUGCGAGCGUUAAUCGGAAUUACUGGGCGUAAAGCGUGCGCAGGUGGUUUUGUAAGUCAGAUGUGAAAGCCCCGGACUCAACCUGGGAACU